rnacentral:rRNA from 1 species
UACGGAGGGGGCUAGCGUUGUUCGGAAUUACUGGGCGUAAAGCGCGCGUAGGCGGCUUUGUAAGUUAGAGGUGAAAUCCCAGAGCUCAACUCUGGAACUGCCUUUGAUACUGGGUAUCUUGAGUAUGGAAGAGGUAAGUGGAAUUCCGAGUGUAGAGGUGAAAUUCGUAGAUAUUCGGAGGAACACCAGUGGCGAAGGCGGCUUACUGGUCCAUUACUGACGCUGAGGUGCGAAAGCGUGGGGAGCAAACAGG